GACGAACGCUGGCGGCGUGCUUAACACAUGCAAGUCGAACGGAAAGGCCCUGCUUUUGUGUGGUGCUCGAGUGGCGAACGGGUGAGUAACACGUGAGUAACCUGCCCGUGACUUUGGUAUAACUUCAGGAAACUUGGGCUAAUACCGGAUAUGAGCUCCUGCUGCAUGGUGGGGGUUGGAAAGUUUCGGCGGUUGGGGAUGGACUCGCGGCUUAUCAGCUUGUUGGUGGGGUAGUGGCUUACCAAGGCUUUGACGGGUAGCCGGCCUGAGAGGGUGACCGGACACAUUGGGACUGAGAUAAGGCACAGACUCAUACGGGAGGCAGAAGUGGGGAAUAUUGCACAAUGGGAGGAAGCCUGAUGCAGUAAAGCAGCGUGGGGGAUGACGGCAUUCGGGUUGUAAACCGAUUUCGCAUGUGCAGAAGAGUGAGUGACGGUACUGGGCAAAGAAGCACCGGCUAACUACGUG
rnacentral:rRNA from 1 species